GAUGAACGCUGGCGGCGUGCCUAAUACAUGCAAGCCGAGCGAACGGACGAGAAGCUUGCUUCUCUGAUGUUAGCGGCGGACGGGUGAGUAACACGUGGAUAACCUACCUAUAAGACUGGGAUAACUUCGGGAAACCGGAGCUAAUACCGGAUAAUAUUUUGAACCGCAUGGUUCAAAAGUGAAAGACGGUCUUGCUGUCACUUAUAGAUGGAUCCGCGCUGCAUUAGCUAGUUGGUAAGGUAACGGCUUACCAAGGCAACGAUGCAUAGCCGACCUGAGAGGGUGAUCGGCCACACUGGAACUGAGACACGGUCCAGACUCCUACGGGAGGCAGCAGUAGGGAAUCUUCCGCAAUGGGCGAAAGCCUGACGGAGCAACGCCGCGUGAGUGAUGAAGGUCUUCGGAUCGUAAAACUCUGUUAUUAGGGAAGAACAUAUGUGUAAGUAACUGUGCACAUCUUGACGGUACCUAAUCAGAAAGCCACGGCUAACUACGUGCCAGCAGCCGCGGUAAUACGUAGGUGGCAAGCGUUAUCCGGAAUUAUUGGGCGUAAAGCGCGCGUAGGCGGUUUUUUAAGUCUGAUGUGAAAGCCCACGGCUCAACCGUGGAGGGUCAUUGGAAACUGGAAAACUUGAGUGCAGAAGAGGAAAGUGGAAUUCCAUGUGUAGCGGUGAAAUGCGCAGAGAUAUGGAGGAACACCAGUGGCGAAGGCGACUUUCUGGUCUGUAACUGACGCUGAUGUGCGAAAGCGUGGGGAUCAAACAGGAUUAGAUACCCUGGUAGUCCACGCCGUAAACGAUGAGUGCUAAGUGUUAGGGGGUUUCCGCCCCUUAGUGCUGCAGCUAACGCAUUAAGCACUCCGCCUGGGGAGUACGACCGCAAGGUUGAAACUCAAAGGAAUUGACGGGGACCCGCACAAGCGGUGGAGCAUGUGGUUUAAUUCGAAGCAACGCGAAGAACCUUACCAAAUCUUGACAUCCUUUGACAACUCUAGAGAUAGAGCCUUCCCCUUCGGGGGACAAAGUGACAGGUGGUGCAUGGUUGUCGUUAGCUCGUGUCGUGAGAUGUUGGGUUAAGUCCCGCAACGAGCGCAACCCUUAAGCUUAGUUGCCAUCAUUAAGUUGGGCACUCUAAGUUGACUGCCGGUGACAAACCGGAGGAAGGUGGGGAUGACGUCAAAUCAUCAUGCCCCUUAUGAUUUGGGCUACACACGUGCUACAAUGGACAAUACAAAGGGCAGCGAAACCGCGAGGUCAAGCAAAUCCCAUAAAGUUGUUCUCAGUUCGGAUUGUAGUCUGCAACUCGACUACAUGAAGCUGGAAUCGCUAGUAAUCGUAGAUCAGCAUGCUACGGUGAAUACGUUCCCGGGUCU
rnacentral:rRNA from 1 species